AACUGUGCCAUUAAAUUCAGACCAUUGAACUUCUGUCGCCCGUCGGCGAGUUGCAGGUAUAGACGUAUAGUAGUUGGAAGGGAAAGUAUAUAUACGUGGGAAAUAAGCAAAGAACGUGGCCAUGGCUGAAUCUUGCAUAUCCUUUCACAUUCACAUUCCUUCUCUCUUUUUCUAAUCACUAUAUUAACCUGUGUUACAAGCUGAAUUAAUACUCUCUUUACUCUAUUUCUCUACCGCAUUUCAUCGAACACUUGAAAGGUUAUGGCGUUAAAGGAAGACAAAAAGCCAUCAGUGGAGAUCAGCAACCUCAGAUUCACCUACCCUGGUAUCGAUGGCCAUCCGCCUCCCGGAUCUACCCCUUUGAUAGAUGAUUUCAAUCUUACCCUUUAUCCCGGUGACCGCUGCCUUCUUGUCGGAUCUAAUGGCGCAGGGAAGACUACAAUUCUGAAGAUAUUGGGAGGAAAGCAUAUGGUAGAACCAGACAUGGUCAGAGUGCUUGGAAGAUCUGCAUUUCAUGACACUGCUUUAACGGCUUCUGGAGACCUCAGUUAUCUUGGUGGAGAGUGGAGGAGAGAAGUUGCGUUUGCUGGAUUUGAGGUGCCUAUCCAAAUGGAUGUUUCUGCUGAGAAAAUGAUUUUUGGGGUUACAGGAACUGAUCCACAAAGACGAGAUGAACUGAUUAAGGUUCUUGGUAUCGAUCUGUCCUGGAGAAUGCACAAAUCAUCUGAUGGGCAAAGAAGAAGAGUACAGAUAUGUAUGGGUCUUCUGAAACCAUUCAAGGUACUACUUCUUGAUGAGAUAACAGUUGAUCUAGAUGUUCUUGCAAGGGCUGAUCUUUUGAAAUUUCUGAUCAAAGAAUGUGAAGAGCGAGGCGCUACAAUAAUUUAUGCAACACACAUUUUUGAUGGUCUUGAGAAUUGGCCUUCUCAUAUGAUAUAUGUGGCUCAUGGGAAGCUGCAAUUAGCAAUGCCAAUGGACAAGGUGAAGCAGAUCAGCAAUUUGUCACUAAUGAGGACAGUAGAGAGAUGGCUGAGGAAAGAAAGAGACGAGGAGAGGAAACGAAGG